GUAGGCCAAUAAACAGUUGUAUGGCUCAUGCAGGUUUUAUUGAGCCGUAUAACUGUUUGGUGACCUACCUAUCAGCCCUACAUGUUUAUAUAACGUGAAAACCCGCCAUUUUUCUCGUGGUUCUCUCAACAUGGAGACAGGAAUAAGACAGACACAGGGACAAAGAUACCAACAAUGUUCUAGAACACUGCAAUCAACUGAUUUACAACCCUCUGUACUCUGUAUUCAAGUGGCUAGAGUACUACCAUCGAACCUGGAUUAAUAAAACAGUGAAAUCUUGCUGGAAGGUGCUAUCAUAGUAUAACUGGAUUUACCAGCCUGAGGGUUAAGGCGUCUCUUCAAGAUGGAUGUUAGAACAUCACAGAUGGUUAUUUUUUCAGGUCACCUGAUGUUCAGUUUGCUACACAGCCAUUCAUUAUUGAAAGUCUCAGAACCAUAGAGGAGAACAAAUUUUACAUUGCUGUUCAACAGUCAUAUUUGGAAAACUGUAGACAGCUCUUGACAUCCAUAUUGUGCGGAGGAUGUUGGAUACUUUGCUGAUAUGUCUUUUGAUGUCCUCAUCUGCUCCCCCAUCUUCUUACAACAGAUCCUAAAUGUGUCAAGUGAUCCUGCUCCAAAAUAGUCAUUUCUUGUAUCCUAAGUGGAACUCCUGUUUGUUGUUGAUUCUUAUCUCUUCUGUUUUUUCCAGUUGAUCAUUAAGCCUAUAUUAAGAAGGUUCAUCAUAGUUUGCUUAGCGUGGAUUGGGCAUGUUGUCAAUGUGAGAGUAUAGCAUCCUCAAUAUCUAGACGUCCAGCUAAGUGAGGGUCCACUGUAUUUGAACCUUUUGGUCUGAUGUACUUUAUUGGUGAAAAGCUUAUAAUAUUUCUGUACUCACUGAAAAAGGGCUGGUUAACUAGUGGAUAAUCUGGCAGUUGGAGUCUUUGUAGAGGUGUUGGAUAAUAUUGCUGAAUUUCUUAGCGAUUGAAUGUGCAAAUUCAAUUUUUUCACCAGGUUGGCUUUCAUGUAGAGAUAUUCUGCUACGCAGUAUUUGUUUAUAAAUAUGUGUAUCUAUAUAUAUAUAUAUAUAUAUAUAUAUAUAUAUAUAUAUAUAUAUAUAUAUAUAUAUAUAUAUAUAUAUGCAUAUAUUUAUGUUUGUGUGUGAAACUAAGGUCUAGUUACACACAGUCAUAUAAUAUUAAAAACUUGUUAGAUUAAGAUGUGGAUUAGAGAUAGUCUCUUGCCAUCAAAUUUUUAUUUAUCGUGGAGGUUGUAUGUAUUGAUUCCAUUUUGUCUAGUUAUUGAGCAUACUGAAAUCUGAUAAUAUUGAUUUAUUAUCUAUCUACUUACUUGUCCACUUGUAACCUAUAUGAUCUAUUACUUAAUUGUAGCAUCAAAAGUA